ACUAUUAAUUAAAAUUAUAUUUACACAUGCAAGUCUCAGCACCCCUGUGAAAAUGCCCUCUUUUACCUAUUAGUAGACAAGGAGCAGAUAUCAGGCACAAUUUAUGCCCAUAACAUCUUGCCAAGCCACACCUCCACAGGAAUUCAGCAGUGAUAAACAUUGAAAAAUAAGCGUCAAUAAGCUUGAAUCAGUAAUAAUUUUUAGAGUUGGUAAAUUUCGUGCCAGCCACCGCGGUUAUACGAGAAACUCAAAUUAAUAAAAACGGCCUAAAGCGUGAUUAAAUUAUAUUAAAAUAAAUAGAAAUAAAAAUUAACUCAACUGUCGUACGUAUUUGUUAAACGGUGAACCAGAGACGAAAGAUAUUCUAAUAAACAAACUACUUGAACCCACGAAAGCUAAGAAACAAACUAGGAUUAGAUACCCUACUAUGCUUAGCCUUAAACUUUGGAACCUACCCGCCUGAGUACUACGAGCCACAGCUUAAAACUCAAAGGACUUGGCGGUGCUCUACACCCCCCUAGAGGAGCCUGUUCUAUAAUUGAUACCCCCCGCUAAACCUCACCACUCAUUGCCAAUACCGCCUAUAUACCGCCGUCGUCAGCUCACCAUUUAAAUGAGGAACAGUAGGCAUAAUGAUAAACAUAAAAACGUCAGGUCAAGGUGUAGCGAAUUGAGUGGAAAGAAAUGGGCUACAUUUUCUAAAUUAGAAAUUACGAAAAAUUUUAUGAAAAACUAUUUAAAGGUGGAUUUAGCAGUAAAAAGAAAAUAGAGUGUUCUUUUUAAAUUGGCCAUAGAGCGCGCACACACCGCCCGUCACCCUCCUCAGAAAACAAUAAAUUAUAUAAUAAAAG
rnacentral:ncRNA from 1 species